GGAGUGAGCUGCAGAAGACAGUGGAAGACCGGUGGGCUCGUGGGAGAACCUCCAGAGGUUCCCAGCAAUAACCGGUUGCAGUUUACAAGCGAUUCACACCCAGAGCAUCAGUGAACCCUAAGACCCUUGGCCAACUCCAAAGGAAGCUCACGGCUAGAGACGCUGGUGGUGGAGAACUUGGUUGUCCUCUGAGAGAAAAACUAGUAAGAAGAAUCCACGCAUAAUGGAGUUUAGCAUCUGUGAUUGUGAAACCUAAC